UACAGAGGUCUCAAGCGUUGUUCGGAUUCAUUGGGCGUAAAGGGUGCGUAGGCGGCGCGGUAAGUCGGGUGUGAAAUCUCGGAGCUUAACUCCGAAACUGCAUUCGAUACUGCCGUGCUUGAGGACUGGAGAGGAGACUGGAAUUUACGGUGUAGCGGUGAAAUGCGUAGAUAUCGGGAGGAACAUCUGUGGCGAAGGCGACACCCCGUCGGACCAGCACUGACACUGAGGCACGAAAGCGUGGGGAGCAAACAGG
rnacentral:rRNA from 1 species